rnacentral:rRNA from 1 species
UGGGGAAUCUUGGACAAUGGGCGCAAGCCUGAUCCAGCCAUGCCGCGUGAGUGAUGAAGGCCUUAGGGUUGUAAAGCUCUUUUUGCCGGGGACGAUAAUGACGGUACCCGGAGAAUAAGUCCCGGCUAACUUCGUGCCAGCAGCCGCGGUAAUACGAAGGGGACUAGCGUUGUUCGGAAUCACUGGGCGUAAAGCGCACGUAGGCGGAUUUGUAAGUCAGGGGUGAAAUCCCGGGGCUCAACCUCGGAACUGCCUUUGAUACUGCGGAUCUCGAGUCCGAUAGAGGUGAAUGGAAUUCCUAGUGUAGAGGUGAAAUUCGUAGAUAUUAGGAAGAACACCGGUGGCGAAGGCGGCUCACUGGAUCGGUACUGACGCUGAGGUGCGAAAGCGUGGGGAGCAAACAGGAUUAGAUACCCCGGUAGUCCCUGAGCGGGCUGGCAAGGCGCAU